rfam:Synechococcus sp. WH 8102 complete genome.
CAGCGUUCACUUCGCAUUCCGCGGAGCGCAGCUCGACUCAGGCCAUGGAACGGGGGUCUGGG